rnacentral:rRNA from 1 species
UACUCGAGUGGCGAACGGGUGAGUAACACGUGGGUGAUCUGCCCUGCACUUAGGGAUAAGCUUGGGAAACUGGGUCUAAUACCGGAUAGGAGCCAUCUUUAGUGUGGUGGUUGGAAAGUUUUUUCGGUGUAGGAUGAGCUCGCGGCCUAUCAGCUUGUUGGUGGGGUAAUGGCCUACCAAGGCGGCGACGGGUAGCCGGCCUGAGAGGGUGUACGGCCACAUUGGGACUGAGAUACGGCCCAG